UACGUAGGGGGCAAGCGUUGUCCGGAAUCAUUGGGCGUAAAGCGCGUGUAGGCGGCCCGAUAAGUCCGCUGUGAAAGUCCAGGGCUCAACCCUGGGAUGCCGGUGGAUACUGUCGGGCUCGAGUCCGGAAGAGGAGUGUGGAAUUCCUGGUGUAGCGGUGAAAUGCGCAGAUAUCAGGAGGAACACCGGUGGCGAAGGCGGGUCUCUGGGAAGUAACUGACGCUGAGAAGCGAAAGCAUGGGUAGCAAACAGG
rnacentral:rRNA from 1 species